rnacentral:sRNA from 1 species
UGGACAUUCAGGCACAGCCAGAGCAAAAGACCUUCGUUGAAAUCAGA